rnacentral:lncRNA from 1 species
GAAUCNAAAUUCAAGAAAAUCAAUCUUAAUCGUGCAUUUUAAAGAUCGAAACAACCACAUCCUAGCAGCUGAGCAUCAAAAGAAGUACACAAUUCUCAGAAUGCAAAAGAUCGCCGGUCCCCCAUCUUAAAACUAGGUAGGUCGAAUAUAAAGCACUGAAGGAUACAAGUAAUUCGAGGUGGGGGGAUCUUAUAAAAAAAAAUUCUAUCAUAGAUCCAUUAUGCAUAUAUAAACUUAUUUUCUCGUGCUACGAAAAUUUAAUCUUUAUCAUGCAUGUCAAGAUCAAAACAACCAAGGCGGUGAGCAUAGAAAAAUUCACAUAAUUCGCUCCACCUUUAGCAGAAUUGACCCAUAUUAGAGCUACUGCAUAAUGAUUCAUUCAUUUUACGGAUCAAAAUCUAAUCUUUUAACCAAACAUUCAAAAAUAAAUAAAUAAAUAAAUAAAUAAAAACAAAAAUAAUAAAAUAACCACAGCAGAGCAUUAAAAAUUCACA